rnacentral:rRNA from 1 species
AGGCUAAAUACUCCCGUGAGACCGAUAGUGUACCAGUACCGUGAGGGAAAGGUGAAAAGAACCCCGGAAGGGGAGUGAAAUAGUUCCUGAAACCGUGUGCCUACAAGUAGUUAAAGCCCGUUAAUGGGUGAUAGCGUGCCUUUUGUAGAAUGAACCGGCGAGUUACGUUUACUAGCAAGGUUAAGUUGAUAAGACGGAGCCGCAGCGAAAGCGAGUCUGAAUAGGGCGAAUUAGUUAGUAGGCGUAGACCCGAAACCAGGUGAUCUACCCAUGUCCAGGAUGAAGGUAAGGUAAAACUUACUGGAGGUCCGAACCCACGUAAGUUGAAAAUUGCGGGGAUGAGGUGUGGGUAGCGGAGAAAUUCCAAUCGAACCUGGAGAUAGCUGGUUCUCUCCGAAAUAGCUUUAGGGCUAGCCUCGAGGUUGAGAGUCAUGGAGGUAGAGCACUGUUUGAACUAGGGGCCCAUCUAGGGUUACUGAAUUCAGAUAAACUCCGAAUGCCAUCGACUUAUACUCGGGAGUCAGACAGUGAGUGAUAAGAUCCAUUGUCGAGAGGGAAACAGCCCAGACCACCAGUUAAGGUCCCUAAAUAUACGUUAAGUGGAAAAGGAUGUAGUAUUGCUUAGACAACUAGGAUGUUGGCUCAGAAGCAGCCACCAUUUAAAGAGUGCGUAAUAGCUCACUAGUCGAGUGACACCGCGCCGAAAAUGUACCGGGGCUAAACGUAUUACCGAAACUGUGGAUGGACAUCUAAGAUGUCCGUGGUAGGAGAGCGUUCUAAGGACAGUGAAGUCAGACCGAGAGGACUGGUGGAGUGCUUAGAAGUGAGAAUGCCGGUAUGAGUAGCGAAAGACGGGUGAGAAUCCCGUCCACCGAAUAUCUAAGGUUUCCUGGGGAAGGCUCGUCCGCCCAGGGUUAGUCGGGACCUAAGCUGAGGCCGAUAGGCGUAGGCGAUGGACAACAGAUUGAUAUUUCUGUACCAGUCAUUAAUGUUUGAGCGAUGGGGGGACGCAGGAGGAUACGAACGCAUGCUGAUGGAUAUGCAUGUACAAGCAAUUAGGCAGGGAAGUAGGCAAAUCCGCUUUCCGUGUAAGCUGAGUUGUGAUGUGGUGGCACCUAGUGCCGUAGGUUCUGAUUCCACACUGCCAAGAAAAGCCUCUAGUUAGUUAAUGACUGCCCGUACCGCAAUCCGACACAGGUAGAUGAGGAGAGAAUCCUAAGGUGAGCGAGAGAACUCUUGUUAAGGAACUCGGCAAAAUGACCCCGUAACUUCGGGAGAAGGGGUGCUCUAUUAAGGUGAAAGCCUGAGAGAGCCGCAGUGAAUAGGCCCAAGCGACUGUUUACCAAAAACACAGGUCUAUGCAAAAUCGUAAGAUGACGUAUAUGGGCUGACACCUGCCCGGUGCUGGAAGGUUAAGAGGAGUGCUUAGCGCAAGCGAAGGUGCGAAUUGAAGCCCCAGUAAACGGCGGCCGUAACUAUAACGGUCCUAAGGUAGCGAAAUUCCUUGUCGGGUAAGUUCCGACCCGCACGAAAGGUGUAACGA